UCGAACCUGCAACCUUUCAUGCGCUAGACGACACCCAACCAACUGAACCACACCGGUCAGGGCAUCAUUUUUCCCACAUUCUAAAUCAGCCAUCUCCUUUUUUUUUUUUUUUUCACUUAAAUAAAUAUUUGUUUUAAAAGGAAGCUUUAUUUCACCACUUUACAUGGAAAACCAGCAUCAAUUACAGGAAAGAGGAAGUAGUAUAAAAAUAUCUUUUUGUUUUCAUUGUCUAAUUUAUUGAAGGCUCUGGGCUUGUGUUUUUCCUUAUGUGUGUUUGUUCAUGUGUAGAAAGGGAGACGAACGGAUGUAGAGACGCAUUCAAGAUAUACUAGCAUCUAACCAAGACCAUCUCCUCGACCUAAUCAGGAGAACGGAAAGAGAUAUAAUUCAGUAUCAUCUGGUGCAAGCAUGCGUUUGACAUGCUUGAUCUAGUGUUACACUCAAAUGUCAUCUAAAACUCAGUGAUACACACCCCAUGCUUUGGGAAACACCGAAGUAGAAAAUCUUACCCAAUAAAUAACAUUCAUUGUUUGCCUGAAUUUUAGUGAAUAGCGGCUUUCUGCUUUUAGGGCUGGUUGGAGGGGAGCCAGGGUAGCAUUUAGUGGGGAAACGGACCAGGGCAUUUGGCAGGGCUUCCUGGUCACUAAUGCUCUUCCUGUGCCUUCAGUCUUGGAGUCUCACCCGCCUGAUGCUCUCACAGUAAGAGUGUUCGGGGCAUGCUGCGUCUCUGAUGUCACUAACACUUUAGUAAGUUACUCUGGUCAGCUCUUUUUCUAGUGUGGUAAGCCAUGGGUGGGAGCAGGACUGAGCGGAGGUCCCUGCACGUGUGGGGCACACCAGGAAAAUCGGAGGGGACAAAAGGAGGAAGUGGGGUUCCAAAGCCAAGCCUAAAUAUUUGCCUAACGCUUUUAGCUGGGGCUUUUCCAGGGCUUCUCUGGAAUGCGUGCUCUGAUGGGACAGCAGGAAGUGUUGUCUCUGAGCUUGUGAUGCAAAGCUUUGCAUGUGGAACCACUCUGCCCCCUCACACUUGGCCCUUACGAGGGAAUAGCUAAGAAACCAGUAGCUAAGAGAGCACAGUGAGGAGGAGGGAGGGGUGAGCUCUACCUUUCUCACCUCUGAAGCAUCCCAGGGUCAGCUCAGGCGCUCAGCGUUGCUGCCCCAUAAAUGCCCUGUUUUGGUGUGAAAUGAAUUCAACCCCAGCUCUGUGAUGAGGCAGGGCCCGUGGGGCCUUACCGUGUUCUGAGGACAGAUGGAGCUGAGCCAUACGGCUUCCUGGAGACUUGGGGCCCAGUUUUGGUGUGACAGCCUCUGUCAUCCUGUUCCCUGUUGCACUUGGGACCUGAAUUGGAGGUGCGGUCAGGGAAGCAGGCCUGGAGAGGUGGGGGACUCCCCCUCGUGGGACGGAGCCACCCUUGCUUUGUGUCUGAUGCCUCCCAGGUGAGAAGUAGCUCAUUAGCUUAGUUAGUGCGAUAAGCAAGUCAGCCUCCCUUGCAGAUUUGCAAAUGAUUGAAAACCACCUGAUAGGAGUAACAUGAAGGGGAUUUAUGGGAGCAUAUAAAUAGUUCAAGGAGGUAAAAAGGGUUCAGUGUUAACAGUCCCUCCUCCUUCUCCUUAUUCUGUUGUCCCCUGCUCUGGCUCCCAGCAGCCGGGGUCAGCAUCCUACUGGAUCAGCAACCCCAGAGUCCUUUUCCUUCGUAGAUUUAGCUGUAAUCUUGAGACAGACUCCUGAUUGGCUAGACACAGGUCACAUGCUCAUCCCUGAGCCAAUCGCUGUGGCUGGCUCUGGGUCAUGUGCCCAGUUAUAUUAUUCAGCAGCACCCAAGCAUCCUGACUGGGAGUGGCCGUGAAUAGGUUCCCUGAAAGAAAGCUGAAGCCUGGACCGGAAUGGGGGUGAUUGACAGACAGGCAAAACAGCAGAUGUCUCCUCAGUUAGUUCUGGGCCAGAACAAAUAAUGAGUCGGGGAUCAUAUUCAUUUUUCUGGCUAGCCAGCCUUGGGCACCUGGCUCUAACAAGCUUUUAAGGCAUAGUGGUAGCUGGCAACGGAGGGAGCCUCAGUGUAGAAGCCAUUCCACCAACUGCCCAGAUUACAGGAAUGGCCUUCAGAUGAAUAGUGGCUGGUGCGGUAUCCUCCACACACAUCCAGAUGUGGCCAAGGUGUCCUGUAGGGGGCUGUGGUCAUCCUGGGCACAGGCCGCAGACACCAGGACUUGAUGUCCCUACAUUCCGGCAGGAGUGCUCCAUGCUUCCCGGGGCACCUACUGUCUGCUCAUGAAAAAGCCCGCCCGCCCUGCAAGCAUCCUUUCUGUCCAAAUCAGGCUCGGAGAGAGACUGCUACUGGGUGCAGGUUUCUUCCUGGGGUGACAAGCAUGUCCUAAAACUGAUUGUGGUGCCGUAGCACAACUCUGAAUCUAUAUUUUAAAUGGGUGAAUUGUAUGGGUCUGAACUGUAUCACAAUAAAAAUGUUAUAUAAACAUACACACGUGCACAAAACCUGCCCAGAGGCCUGGGCUGUGUAGAUGGACGAUGGGGCCGGGGACGAAGCGACGUGUAGCCUCUCCCAGUGCCAUUGAGUGGCAGCUGUCAUCGCUGGGCUCCGGGCACAGCAAGCUGUGAAAUGAAAAGCUGCUGCUCAACCAAGCUCGUUGCCCAGAGCCUGUGUCUGGCUCAGGCCUUUCCCAGGGGGAGAGAGGACGUUUGUCCGGAGAGUUUGGAGACUAGGACAGAGGAGCACGGGACUCGCCAGGACCCGAGGACGUGUGUGUGGCUUCGCAGAGAGCUGGGGAGGUUCCAGAGAGGUUUCCUGGGUGCUCUUCAAGCUAAAAGUCUGAGGUGGCCAACUGCCUUUUCUAUCAGAAAACCAGUGCCAGGGGCCUCCUAGACUCCGACAGGCAAGACAGGGACACGAAGAGGGAGAGGCGGAACUGGGAAGUGAGUGGACGUCUUAUCUUGUCCCAUGAACUCCCGUGGCACCUGCAGCUGUCUCCUGUCCCCUCUGUGCUGGUGGCAUCCAGACCAGCUGUGGCUUUCCCCAGAUGCACCUCCUGGGCAUUUCAACAUUAAUUUACUUCCUUCUGUUUACCUAGUGCUGGUCAUGCUAGGAAUAAAGAAAAAAGCUUUGUCCUUCACCAUAACCUUUGAGGGACCCACAGGCCAUUGACUGAACCUGGUUUGCACCCAGAACUGUAAUGGGGCUGCAAAGAGAAGAAGGGAUGAGGACGAGCCAGUCCCUGCUCUUAUGAUGUCUAUAUUCUGGUCGGAAGGUUUUGAGGCCACUUAAACCCCCGUUAGGACAAUGCAAAUGGAAAUCUCAAUGACACACCCAUUUUUACCUAAUAAGUUGGGCAGAAAUUUUAAAAUUUGGUUUCAGUCGUUGGUGAGGGUUUGGGGAAUCAAAUUGUCUUCCCUGCUGCCGAUGGGAGUAUAAAUUGGGGUUGAGAUUUUGGGGGGCAACUUCUGAGCCAGUCAUCCCACUUCUUGGAGAAACAGUGUCAUCACACCAGGGGCUUCCAUGGGGGUGUCUUGGCAGCACCGAGAAUGGUAGUGACCGUUGAGGCGCAACCACGUGGACUGUGGCAGAGCCACAUCCUGAAAUGCCAUGUGACAGGUCCAUGGGUACCAGCCUGGGAAUCCAGAUGAGAAAACCAGUUGCAGGAUGAUUUAGUUAAAAAGGAAGUCUAAUCCAGCAGCUCACCCCCCAAGCCAGCAGGUCCUCCGGCUCCUCCUCCUUGUGAGCAGUGGUGCCCCCGACCCCAUCUCCUCGCUUGGCCCCCACCCCAGUGAGAGAGAGAGAGAGAGAGAGAGAGAGAGAGAGAGAGAGAAAUGGUGUGAUACCUCCUAUAGAUGCCUCUGGUGUCCCAAUCACUACAGCCCCAUCCUUGGGAGGAGGGAGCCCUCCUGCUCCCAGGCUGUGUUUGGCAAAGCAUAUCUCUGCCGCCCUGUGUUCCGUUAUCUGAGCUCCCAGAGAGGGACCAGGAAGGGCCAGCAAAGAUCCAAGACAAUCUCAGGGACUUUAAAGGGCGAAGGUGUUGGGUCCAGCAUCCCUCCCCGGCUGUGGAGUGAGAACCCUGAGCUGGGGGGGGGGAGGCACUGGGCUCUGACAACAGGGUCCCCACAGCUUCUGGACUGGGUGGGGUGAAGUCCAGGGCUGGAUGUGGGCUUGCAGUGGACGGAGGAGCAGACUCGCCCAGGGUGUGGGCUCCCGGGAGCAGCUGCGGCUGGGGUGGUGUGAGGUGCUGCAGCUCUCUGUCAAAGUGUGUGUGUUCUGUGUUGAUUCAGCAAAUUUACUGAGCACCUGCUCUGAGCAGGUGCAUCAACGAACCAGAAAGACAGGAAUCUUGCGCUUCUGGAGUUGACAUCUGAGUGGGGAAGGGGGUUCAGGAAACAAAGGA